CCUACGGGUGGCAGCAGUGGGGAAUAUUGGACAAUGGGCGAAAGCCUGAUCCAGCCAUGCCGCGUGUGUGAAGAAGGCCUUCGGGUUGUAAAGCACUUUCAGUGGGGAAGAAAGCCUUGGGGCUAAUACCCUCGAGGAAGGACAUCACCCACAGAAGAAGCACCGGCUAACUCCGUGCCAGCAGCCGCGGUAAUACGGAGGGUGCGAGCGUUAAUCGGAAUUACUGGGCGUAAAGCGCGCGUAGGCGGUCUGAUAAGCCGGUUGUGAAAGCCCCGGGCUCAACCUGGGAACGGCAUCCGGAACUGUCAGGCUAGAGUGCAGGAGAGGAAGGUAGAAUUCCCGGUGUAGCGGUGAAAUGCGUAGAGAUCGGGAGGAAUACCAGUGGCGAAGGCGGCCUUCUGGACUGACACUGACGCUGAGGUGCGAAAGCGUGGGUAGCAAACAGGAUUAGAUACCAGAGUAGUC
rnacentral:rRNA from 1 species